rnacentral:rRNA from 1 species
AUGGACGUAUCCAUCAGGUUCUUGCAAAGCUAUAUGGAGUCCUUGAUGGCAGUAAAGUCAAACUCACGUUGUGACCCUGCUAAAGGAAAGCUGACGAUCGGUCUGGACGGUGCCACUAAGCACACAAGUGCAGCGGUGGGUGCUCUACCGACGUGGUCUAGGCCGGUGAAUGGAUGGGUAAAACUUAAUACAGAUGGGUCUUUUGUCUCAAGUGAAAUAGCUGGAGCAGGGAUGAUUCUGAGAGACUCGGACGGCAAGAUCAUCUUUUCGGCGUGCAGGGCUCUAUUCUCCUGUAGAGAUGCUUUGGAGGCUGAACUAGUUGCAUACACGUGGAGAAACUCCAGUACGAGGAGCUUCUCGGAAAGCCAGAGGAAAAGACAAGGACGGAGAAACCAAGGCGGAUGGCCGCCAGCAGCAGCAAAGCCUGCGAUGCCACCAGAUAGAUCGCCGCGGAGAUCCCUAAACCCCCGCAGUCCUGCACCGCCAGAACAGCUCCACCCUCCACCCACCCACCAUCCUCCGACGGCGCCGCCUCCUCGCGUCCUCCGCCCCGCCGUCCUUGCCGUUGCCGUCGCCGUCACCUCCAUCUCUCCCUCUCCGCCUGUUCCCUCCUACUACUCCCCGCCACCCGCAUUGCAACAUUUGCUCCCUUCCUCAACCUCCCCAGAGCCCUCCCCUGCUUCCCGGCCGGCCGAGCCUCACCCCAGCCCCCAGGUACCGCUCCCAGCUCUCCCUCCCGUCUCUCUGUCUCUCUAG